UGAUUGUAGAAUAAGUAGUUAUUUUCAGAAUAUAGAUACCUAGUGUAUAGUGUAAACAAAGAUAGAUAACUGCUGAAAAGGUGGUUUAGCAGGUAGAAUGGUUGAAUAGUCAAGAAAAGUAGUUAUCAUCUGUAGUAUAGGAGUUGGUAUCUUGGAGUAGUAUAAGGAGGUUGAGAGAGGGGAAGAAAAUACCAUCGCUGUGAUAGUUGUGAGCCGGGAUAAGCUUGGUGCUAUCUCUUUUCUUUUGUUUGUUAUUUUCUUUGAAUAAGAGGAUUGAGAGUUUUUGAAUAUUGUGAAGUGAAUUAUGGAAUGGAAAUGUGAUUGGUAUUAUUUGAGAAGAAGAAAGAUUGAAUGCUAAAAUCUGAUUUGUAGUUCAGCUGAGAGAAUGAGUCUGUAUUUGUAUGAAAUACCGUAAUGUGAAUGGCAGUUUUGUGUGAAGAAUUCCAGUGAUUGGAAUGAG
rnacentral:lncRNA from 1 species